GCUAAUUGUUGUAGCUGAUGGACGACGUGUGACAUCCUCGGACGCAUUGAUGGUACAUGUUGUGUACAAGAAUAAACAAGAUCAACAACUUUUUGGAUGACUCCAACUUCAGGAAUCUGAGAAGAGGAAGAAGAUGAUAUGAGAGGAUCCAAGAGUUCAACAUAUCGAUGAGCUUGCACCAGAGGCGUGGCCCAUUCAAAUAUACUUUGCCAUCCAACAGAAUCUACUGCCUGUGCUGGUCUUCGUCCACUAAUUAUUU
rnacentral:misc_RNA from 1 species